AGUAAUGACUUCGGUACCAAAGUACCAAACAGUCAAGACAAGUACCACUAAACCAAACCAAAUCAAACCAAAAUCAAACUAAUACCAAUAAUUUCCCAGAUAGUUUUCACUAUCCAUUACAAGAAUUUGAUUGUCAAACCUUGCUGUAUUAUCUGAACUGAUUUGAAUUUGAACAUGUUUAACUUGAAAAUCUAUACAAAUUUAAGAAUCAAAAAAAUUAUUUGAAAUAUUAAUAAAUAUUACUCAAUUCUUGUUUAUAACACUUAAUUUUGAUUAAGAUAAUUGGGUAUAUAAAAAAAGUGAGAUUAGUUUUUGACACCAAACCAUCUCCAAUGUUUUUUUCUAUUUUCUUUCUAAAAUAGAAGAACUAUACAAUAGAGAUGAAAUAUGUUCUAAUGUAUCACUCUAUAAGAGCAAUUUCUAAAUAUAUAGUAAAAAUAGAAUACUAUCGUUUCCUCUAUAAUAGCAAUAAAGAAAUAAAAAUGGGAUUGACCAAUUUUACCUCUAAAUGUUAUUAUAAAAAAAAAAAUAACAAUGGGUUGGAAAUGCUCUAAACCUAGAUUACGUAUUUCCGGAGACAAAAUCUUUGAACCAAAAAAUAUCUAAACUAAGACCAAAUAAAACUGAAUAACUAAUUCUAGUUAAUUCCGACCAAUUAUGAAGCUUCAGCAAAAAAACAAAAACAACACC
rnacentral:lncRNA from 1 species